rnacentral:rRNA from 1 species
AUUGAACGCUGGCGGCGUGCCUAACACAUGCAAGUCGAGCGGUAACAGGCGUAGCAAUACGUGCUGACGAGCGGCGAACGGGAGCGUAAUACAUGGGAAUCUGCCCUCUGGUGGGGAAUAACCCGGCGAAAGCCGGGCUAAUGCCGCAUGAGAUCUUCGGAUGAAAGCGGGGGACCGUAAGGCCUCGCGCCGUUGGAUGAGCCCAUGUCGGAUUAGCUUGUUGGUGGGGUAACGGCCCACCAAGGCGACGAUCCGUAGCUGGUCUGUGAGGACGGCCAGCCACACUGGGACUGAGACACGGCCCAGACUCCUACGGGAGGCAGCAGUGGGGAAUAUUGGACAAUGGGCGAAAGCCUGAUCCAGCGACGCCGCGUGUGUGAAGAAGGCCUGCGGGUUGUAAAGCACUUUCGAUGGGAACGAAAUGUGCCGGGCUAACACCCCGGCAAGCUGACGUUACUCAAUAGAAGAAGACACCGGCUAACUCUGUGCC